UCAAAGCCAUUGGCCAAUUAAAGGAUCUUCAGGGAGCAGAUUAGGUUUGCAAAGCAAGUGGGGGAAGAGGAAUGGGGCUCUUUGCUUCCUGACUCAUCUCUCAACUAACUCUGCCUCUGGGCUAGUGCUCUGUCUGGGACCUAAACCCAACUUGGGUGGCAAAGGCUGGAACCCCAAGUGUCUUCUCUUCUCUUUCCUAAUGAGUGCUUCUCAAUGGAGACCAACAUUCUAAUCUGAUUUCAGACCCUUCCUAGCUGUGUUACUCUGGGCAGAUCACUUCACCCCCAUUGCCCAGCCCUGACCACUCUCUCCUGCCUGAGAACCAAUACACAGAAUUGAUUGGAAGAUGGAAGGUAAGGGGGGGGGGACGAAAACUACAAAUCCCUUCAGGAAGUAUUCUAGGAAUCAGCUUCAAGCUCACCCAGCAAUUGUUUCCAUAAGACAUAUUUUUUCCUUUGGUUCCCAACCAGGGCAGACUUUCAUGUCUUCUCUCUUCUUGUCCUUCUCCAUGGUUCUGCAAAGAUCUGCCAAUUUUAGAAGAAGCCUAGGAAGGGAAGCUGAGUGGCUGAGUGGAUAGAGAAUCAGGCCUAAAGCCUGAUGGUUCAAAUGCAGCCUGGGACACUUCCUUGCUUGUGUGACCCUGGGCAAAUCACUUCAUCUCUUUUGCCAAGCCCUUCCUUACCACUUUGUGCCUUAGACCCAUUAUACAGAAUUGUUUCUAAGAUGGAAGGGAAGGCAUUUUCCAAAAAAUAAUGGAAUCUUUUAACUCAAUAUUUACCUGGAGAGAUUUAAAUGUAAAGAACCCAAAUGGUAGAUGACCCAAAGUGUCUUGGAAAGAUGCAUGGUGGGUAUCGAUAAGCUGCAGCAUAUUACUAGAGAUGAUUUGAGAGCAAGAAGCAGUCUAAAAACCAUCCAGUUGGAUGAUCAGGGAAGAGAUAAGCUUGGCCCAGUUCUUUGGUGUCUUGAACCAAAACCUACAUACUAGAAUUCUUAGUGUGAAAAAGAUGUGGAUAGGUUUUGACCUACAUUGCUAGAAAGGACACAUCCCAGAUUCAUCAGGUAACUCCCAUCCCUUGAGGAAGCUAAUGAAUAUCACUUGAGAGAUAACCUAACAUAAUUUUGUGGAAAGUGGACUACCUUCAGAGUCAAGAAGGAGGUCUAGGUUCAAAUGAUGCCUUUGAUACCUACUGCAUGAGUGGUCCCAAUAAAUCUCUUGUGGCUCAGAGAAAUCUCCAAAUCUCUAAGUGAUAAAAGAGUUGCCUAUCCACUCCUAUUAAGUUAGCACACUGGGACAUCAAUGGAUGAAUCAAUGGGGAUGUUCCCAUCACCAUUGUCUUUUUUUCUAUUCAAAUAAACAUACAGAACACUUCAGCAAUAGGUAUAGUUAUCCAAUCAUAGACUGGAGUUAUAUCCACUCAUAGAGCACUAUUGUGGGAUAGGACUUUGUUAUAUUUUUCUAUCGGGUGCACCUUGGAAAUGUUUUCUUCAGUCUUUUGGAUGUGUUUCCACUGAGGAAAAGAAUGGCAUGAGCACAGUAAAUCAGACUAGGCAAUGGGUAUGCAGAAGAAGACAUUUUCAAAAGGUUAAAUUAAGCUUAGAAUACAACCUAGAGGCUGAAAUUCAGUUCUGUCUAUAAAGUCCUUUGCAAAAAAAUCAAGAAAAUAAUAGGGACAUCAAGGACAGAAGGUGAGGCCCAUGUUGAGAUGGCUUAUGUGUCCUGAUCCUGGGCCCUGUCUUCUGUUCCUCUUGGUAGUCCUGGGCCUCAAGUACAUUCUUCUUGACCUGGAUAUCUUGCUUAGACUCUGGGUCACCAUUCAUCACCCAGAGUUCCUCGAACUUUUCAGCCAUUUGGUCAGAACUCGUUUUGACUAGUCAAGCUUUCUCUUCCUUGGUUUCUUCUUUCUUUUCUUUUUUCUUUUCAUCUCCUUCUCUCAUUCCUGGAAUUUUGCCAUCAACCUGUGAUCAUUUUGUGCCCACAGGAAUCUGCUGGCCAGAAGCUCUGGCUUUGGACUUUGAUGGGCAGAGUGAGGCUGUGUGUUCCCAACACAAGUCCCGUCAUUCCCUGCACAGCUCUUCAGAGACUUGUCCUGACUCCUGAGGAGGCCAAUUGUCCCUCUCUCCUUGUGUCUCAGCAGCUUCCCAUCAGCCUUCCCCACUCUUUAAACUGGUGAAGGUUAUUGUGAGAGUCAAAAGGGAACAGCUUGACUCCCAUCUUCCAGAGCUCUUCUUCACCUGCUCAGCAGACAGACAACGGGCUGAAACUGGGGAUCCUGCUUGCUGUCCUCCAGGCAGUUGCUGGUGGAAUCCUGCUCCACGAGAGGUUCCUUGGUAGAGACCAUCAGAAGGGGAAGGGGGAGGGGGGGCUUGAUGCCAUACAGGUGGCAGAAAUGCUUGCUCCCAGUGAUGUGAAGGUAAAAGGGGCAACCGUUGUGCCCACUCUGCUGGCCCUUGGGCUUACCUCAGCUGAGUUUCACUCCGACUCGCAAAUGUGUGAGCGCCUCCACCCUCCCAGCAUGGCGGCAGCUGGACUGGGAAGGGGCUUGGAAAAGAUCAUCUAAUACAAACACUUCCUUUUGUAGGAGAGAGGGGGAAAUGGUGGCCUGGACAGAAGGGACAGAUUGCAAGUGACUCUGGGAGCGAAUGGGAGAGCUAAGUCCAGAUCAUUGGUGAAAGUGGGAGGGAAAUCAUGAGGGGACCUCCAUCCCAGCUUCAAUCCCUCCUAGGAAUCAGUCCUGUGUCUGAUGCUCCAACUCUGGGAUCUGGGAGGGGGGGGACAGCACUGAUGGAGGUCAAGAUCCAAAGCCAUUGUGCAAAGAAAGGAUCCCCAUGGAGGAGAUUCGGUUUGCAAAGCUAGUGGGGAAGAGGAAUGGGGCUCUUUGCUUCCCGACUUGUCUCUCAACUAACUCUGGCUCUGGGCUAGUGCUCUGUCUGGGACCUGAACCCAACUUGGGUGGGAAAGUCUGAAACCCCAAGUGUGAUCUUUCCUAAGGAAUUCUUCUCAGUCGAGUCUGACAUUCUAAUUUGAUGUCAGACCCUUUGUAGCUGGGUGACCCUGGGCAAAUCACUAGAUCACUUCACCCCCAUUGCCCAGCGCUGACCACUCUCCUGCCUGAGAACCAAUACACAGCAUUGAUUUGAAGAUGAAAGGUAAGGGGGGAAUGAAAGCUAUAAAAACCUUCAGGAAGUAUUCUAGAAAUCAGCUUCAAGCUCACCAAGAGCCUUCUUCUUGCCUUGUAUCUCCUGCUUAGCUUCAGGGCCACCAUUCUUCACCCAGAGUUCCUCAAACACCUCAUCCAUUUGGUCAGAACUUCCCUCAUUGACUAGUCAAGCUGUUUCUUCCUGGGGUUCUUCUUUCCUUUCUUUUUUUUUCUUUUCAUCUCCUUCUUGUAUUCCUGGAAUUUUACCUUUAACCUGGGGGCAUUUUGUGGUCUCAGGUGUCAGCUGGCCAGCAGCUCUGGCUUUGGACUUUGAUGGGCAGAGUGAGGCUGUGUGUUCCCAACCCAAUUCCCAUCACUGCCCGCACUGGGUGGGGUUCUGGAGUCAUUGGCACAGCUCAUCAGGGACUUGUUCUGGCUCCUGAGGAGGCCAAUUGUCCCUCUGUUCUUGUGUCUCAGCAGAUUCCCAUCAGCCGUCCCUGCUCUUUCCACUGCGCACUGCAGAAGGCCCUGUGAGAGGCAAUGGGGAGCAGCUUGGCUCCCAUCUUCCAGAGCUCUUCCUCAUCUGCCUGCCUGCAGGGUCUUCAUGUCCUGCUCAAGCAGACAGACAACAGGCUGAAACUGGGGAUCCUGCUUGCUGUCUUCCAGGCUGUUGCUGCUGGAAUCCUGCUCCUCCUGAGGUUCCUUGGUAGAGACCAUCAGAAUUUGAAGGCGGGGGCCUGAUGUGACCGAGGAAGCAGGAAUGGUUGCUCCCAGUGAUGUGAAGGCGAUGGAGGCAGCCAUUGUGGCCACUCUACUGGCCCUUGUGCUUACCUCAGCUGAAUCUCGCUCUGACUCACAAAUGCGGGAGCGACUCCGGCCCUCCAGGGUGGCAACCACCGAACUGGGAAAGGGCUUGGAAGAAAUCAUCUAAUCCAAAAACUUCCUUUUGUAGGAGAGGGGGGAAGUUGGAGGCCAAGGACAGAAGUGACUCAUUGCACGUGACUCUGGGAGCCAAUGGGAGAGCUAAGUCCAGAGCACUGGUGAAAGUAGAAGGGAAAUCAUGAGGGGACCUCCAUCCCAGCUUGAAUCCACUUAGGAAUCAGAGUCCUAUGUCUGAUGGCCCAACUCUGGGAUCUGGGGAGGGGGGGAGGUAUAGCACUGGUGGAGUUUAAGGUCCAAAGCCAUUGUCCAAGGAAAGGAUCCCUAGGGAGGUGAUUCCGUUUGCAAAGCUAGUGGGGGAAGAGGAAUGGGACUCUUUGCUUCCUUGACUUCUCUCUGAACUAACUCUGGCUCUGGGCUAGUACUCUGUCUGGGACCUGAUCCCAACUUGGGUGGGAAAGGCUGAAACCCCAAGUGUCUUCUCUUCUCUUUCCUAAUGAGUGCUUCUGAACAAUGGAGUCCCACAUUCUAAUCUGAUUUCAGGCCCUUCCUAGAUGUGUGUCCCUGUGAGAAUCACUUCACCCCCAUUGUCCAGUCCUGACCACACUCCUGCCUAAAAAACAAUACACAGCAUUAAUUAGAAGAUGGAAGGGCAGACUUUCAUGUCUUCUCUCUUCUUGUCCUUCUCCAUGGUUUUGCAAAGAUCUGCCAAUUUUGGAAGAAGCCUAGGAAGGGAAGCUGAGUGGCUCAGUGGAUAGAGAAUUAGGCCUAAAGACUGGAGGCUGAAAUCCAGCCUGGGAUACUUCCUUGUUGUAUGACCCUGAGCAAAUCAAUUCAUCUCUUUUGUCUAGCCCUUCCUUACCACUUUUCUGCCUUAAACCCAAUAUAAAGAAUUCGUUCUAAGAUUGAAAGGAAGGCUUUUUUCCAAAAAAACAAUAAAAAUUUUUUAACUGCAA